rnacentral:rRNA from 1 species
AGUGAACGCUGGCGGUAGGCCUAACACAUGCAAGUCGAACGACAGCACAGGAGAGCUUGCUCUCUGGGUAGCGAGUGGCGGACGGGUGAGGAAUACAUCGGAAUCUACUCUGUCGUGGGGGAUAACGUAGGGAAACUUACGCUAAUACCGCAUACGACCUACGGGUGAAAGCAGGGGACCUUCGGGCCUUGCGCGAUUGAAUGAGCCGAUGUCGGAUUAGCUAGUUGGCGGGGUAAAGGCCCACCAAGGCGACGAUCCGUAGCUGGUCUGAGAGGAUGAUCAGCCACACUGGAACUGAGACACGGUCCAGACUCCUACGGGAGGCAGCAGUGGGGAAUAUUGGACAAUGGGCGCAAGCCUGAUCCAGCCAUACCGCGUGGGUGAAGAAGGCCUUCGGGUUGUAAAGCCCUUUUGUUGGGAAAGAAAUCCAGCUGGCUAAUACCCGGUUGGGAUGACGGUACCCAAAGAAUAAGCACCGGCUAACUUCGUGCCAGCCGCCGCCGUAA